CCAUCGGUUCGAUCGGAAGUCGUGGAAAAUUAAAAAUAUUAUUUACAGUACAUAAUUAACUGAGUAUUAUACGGAUAAUAAAGAAAGAAAUGGAGACCUACAAAUGUAUAAGUUUUGUAUUCUUAUUAUUUUGUAUAAUAAGUGUACACACUGCUCCAAGAAUUUACAAAAUAAUUCAUGUUGGUCACUCAAAUAUAUUAUUUUCUGAUGAAAGCAACAUUCGCAAUCUGGACUCAACAAAAGAUAUUCAAAAAGUAACCAAUCUAUUAUCAGGAAGUCAAAAUCAACAACAAAAAUUACAAGACAGCAACAAGCUUACUCAAACCAUUUCUGCAACCAAUAAUGUGAAAUUAUUCAAUAGAUUUCCACAUAUGGACGAUGUUAGACAAAAUUGGGGAAUAUUAGUGAACGGUACAACAAUUGAAGAAGAUGAAGAACUAUACAAAAGACCAAUUAAAAUACCGAUACCAUCUACAAACAAUCCUAUAAAACCACUGAGUAACACAGCGUUUACGGAAUCACAAGCAACACCAUUGUUCACAGCACAAACGUCUCCGAUCUCAGAAGUAACUGAAAAAUCCCAAUUAACCUUAACAUCCGGAUUGAAAAGGAAAAACAAACAAAGCUUACAUCCUGUGAUAUUGCCCGUGUUGUUUGUUGUAUAAGGAACUAUAAUUUAGGACAAUGUUUUACUUCAUAACUGUUAUAUGAAAGUCAUUCCCACAACAGUUUGUGAAAUAGGCGAAAUGCAGGAUAGGAAUAAUGAGACAAAUUCGAUCAUCUGAUUACUCUUUUCAAGGCAUAUUUGUUUAUACGUCGUGUUCUAAAGCAUAUUGCAUUUUACAAUUAAGCUUUAAUUAAAUGUUUUAACUUUA